GAGCCCAUUUUCAGUGUCAGAUUCAGUGAAAAGAAGGGUGGGUAUGAAAUUACACCCUCCUUCCUAAUUCAGAUCGCGACCUCAAAGAAAAUCGGGGAAGUUACAAUCGAUUAAAUCGUUUUUCUUUCUUCUCCAAUUUUCUUCUCCGCGGGUCUCUCUUGUUUCAGGUUUCAUACCCAAAAUUUCUUCCACACUUUUCUCUGAUUUACGAUGAAGCGAUAGAUCUUUCGAUUCUGCCCUGCAUCCUUGUACUAUACUGGCCGAUCGUCCCAAGCAAUUUGUAGCAUCCGACUUCCAUAUGCUGUUAAUAUUUCCCACCGGUGGAUCUGAAGAAGGCGGGGACAAUCUACCCUAAUCGCAAAUAGGUAUGGUCGAUCGUCCCGAGCAAGUUGCAGCUCCAACCUCAUUUGCCCUAAAAACGACCUGGAUAAGAAAAAUAUCAAGACCUGGGAAUUGGAUUUCUGAAGACCAUUGAUGUUGAUUGAAAUGCAAGGAGGUUCCAGCUAGUUUUGGAUUUGAUACUCCAUUCAAGGUGGUGUUUGUUCAACUUUCACAUCUUUAGUUUUUAAAUGAACUUUUUAAAUUAUCUUUAGUGGUAUAUGACUUCGAACAUUAAGUAAAGUACCCUACACAUUUUAUACUAAAAGUAUUGGGUUUGUAACCCAGGUCGGUUAUAAAAGUAUUGGGUUUGUCUCAAUUUUCACAUCUUUACUUUCAUUUCUCCUACUUUUGUUUUUGUAUGGAUCCAUAUAGCUGACCCCAUUAAGUUUGGAUAACGGUGAGUUUUUUUUUUUUUUUGGUAAUAAGAAACCCCUAUGUGGCCUUUUACUUGUUACAACUCAUGCACUAAUGGAGUGAAUUGCUCCCUUUUUCAAUUGCCAGCCAUUCUGGUUAAGCCUUCAAUCUUAUGCUUUAGUGAAUGAUCAAUAUUGGCUGAAUUGAUAUUGUAUUAUAUAGGAAAUGUGAUGAUUGAUGCCCGCUUAGCUGGGAAAUACUACCAUUGUAAGUUUAUUUAUUUAUUUUAACAAGAAACUGAGAAAUUUUAUUAAUUGAAAUCAAAGGAAGAGAAACUCCUACAUGAGUCAAUAGAUACAAGGCAAUGUGGUGGUCGAAGCCACUAAACACGGGAAAUUCCCAAACAAGAUGACUACCAUUGUAAGUUGACUAGUUCUGAUAUAGUCCAUAGUGUGUUUUUUUGUGCUCUUUUUUCCAUAUCUGGUCUGGAGCUGCUUAAAUUUUUAAAGAGUUCUGCAAGAUUGUUACAUUGAUUGGUAAAGUUUGUAAUAAGCAGUUCCAAGUACAUAAAUGUGCAGUUUUGUGAGGUCUACUAUGAUCCCCAUAGGCACACACGUUUCCAAACCUGUGCUGAAUCAGGUGCUAAAUAUUUAGAACAAAUCAAUUUGUUCUUUUAGGUUAUGUUUUUUACACUUAACUUACUGAUAUAUGUAAUGUAGGGAAAAGAAAGGCCAUUAACGUCUGUAAUUUUUCUGAUUUCAAAUACUUCACCCAAUUAGUUCUACCAUUCUUCCCCCCACCCACCCACAAUUCAAUUUCAUUGUUCAGAGUUGUUUUCUUUAGAAUGGAGUAAUGUUGUCCCUGGUAGGAUACAAAAUCCACGUAGAAAUGUGAGUAUUACAAAAAAUCAUGUAAGAUCUGAUCAAGACUAGGAAUUGUUAGUUAUGCUUCAGAAUUAAUGAACUAGAUACGAGAGAACAUGGUGUAAUUUGAGCCAUGACUGAAUAAUACAUAAAAGAACUGUAUGGUGGUGCACAAUGGGAAUGUUGUCGAAUUGUUUGGUGUGUUGAACCAACUCACAUGUCACAUGUAUCAAAUGCAUAGUCUUGAACUUCUAGGUAUCGUGAUCUGCCUGAAUAUCUUCUUUACAGAUUGAGAAGGAGAUGAGAGAACCUUUCAACAGUGUCUUACAAAUUAACGAGUCUCAGCUUGAACUAGAGCCUCACCUGAUUGUAUUCCUCUUGCAAGACCCUUGGUUGAUGAUUCUAGUGUAGCCUUGAAGUUGCUUUCAUUUGAUGUUUUGUUUGAGAGUCUUUAGUUCAAAUUGAUAGAGCACUUGGGGAUUCCCCAAGAGUCGAUGGUUCGAAUCCAUCAAGACUCAGUGAAUUUUCUUAUGUGUAAUUUUUAGAAUUCUAAUGACAUGAGUGAAAAUGACAAUUGUCAUGUAUGUAACAUUGUAGAACACAAAAUAUUGGAAAAAUUAUCAAAAAAUCAUUGGUGCUUAUUGUAA